rnacentral:lncRNA from 1 species
GGUGGCGAGAAAAUAACUAAACAACAGCUUAUGGAAUAUUGCAGCAGAGCAUUUGUGUACUAUCUUCGGUGUGGAACCUAAUGAUGAAUCAUGUUAGCACAUGAUAUAUUCACAUCCUUAUCAGAAUACAUUCACACACUUGAUCUACACACUUUGGUUUGCUACCAGUUGGGCACAUACUUCCUUGACAAUCAGAAUGAUUAUAACAGUGAUAAAAUUCUGUAAUAAAAAAAAUGAAAAAUUGUAACUAAAAUGAGAUAAUAUAUUGUAUACGAAGUAAAGAAGGAGAAUAAUCAUGCUAUAAACAAAAUUAACAACCAUAAUAAUUUGGGAGAAAUUGGGUCUUCGUUGCAACCGGAAAUAGAAAAAG